rnacentral:ncRNA from 1 species
CAAUAAACUGUGAACGGGAAGAGUAGUUGGUAUGCCCUUCAGAGAGCGGAAUUGUAAGCUGGAAGAUUCCGCAGGAUGCAGCCAAACGAAAGUCACCCUGGAGUUGCCUUUUUGAACCCUUGAGGAUUAUCCUCAUGAUUAGAAUAUGGCCGGUAGCAGCCGUUAUCUGUAUGAGUGUCGUGAUUUGUAUGGUAAUAAGUCCUUCGUAUACGGGCUUAUUAUUCCGCAUGCACGAAACAAAGGUGGUACCGCGAAAGUUAACCUUUCGUCCUUUGA